rnacentral:rRNA from 1 species
GUCGUAACAAGGUUUCCGUAGGUGAACCUGCGGAAGGAUCAUUCACGCCAAAUGUUACACCUUGGUGUUUCUCCUCGGAGAUUCAUCAAAGACUUCUUAAAAUCCUUUGAGAUCUUCGGAUCAAAAAGGUGACUUGGGAUCUGAUCCCAUUUAAACAAAAUGAAAAUUUUCUACGGUGGAUAUCUUGGUUUCCAUACCGAUGAAGAACGCAGCGAACUGCGAUAAGCAAUGCGAAUUGCAGAACCCGCGAGUCAUUUGGUCUUCGAACGCAGCAUGCACUUAGAGGGAAUUCCUCUGAGUAUGUCUAACUCAGUGUCGCUGAUUAUAACAAAACUAAAUGUCUUUGAAUUGUUUACAAUUCUCAGAUUAAGCAAGAAUGCGAAGCAUUUCAAUCCAACGAAGUAGUCACUAUUUGUUGAUUUAUCGACGAUUGUGAUUUCGUUGUUUAAUUGAAUUGUCUAAGCAUAGAUAAGCUAGUCUUUAAACAUAAUCUAGAUCUGAGUUUAGGCAAGAGUACCCGCCGAACUUAAGCAUAUCAGUAAGCGGAGGAAAAGAAAUUAACUAAGAUUCGGUAAGUAAGGGCGACUGAACACCGAAGAGUCCAAACUGAAAAUCCUUUUCGUAAGAAUAGGAAUUGUAGUCUUAAGCAGUAAAGAGAAUAUGAUCUUGCUAUAAGUCGGUUGAGAACGCCGCGCCAAAGAGGGUGAUAGCCCCGUGAUAGCAGGGUCUAAACAUCUUAACUGUAUAGAGUCGGGUAGCUUGGGACUUCUGCCCUAAUAGGAGAUACACUUCUUCUAAGACUAAAUAUGGAUGGAAAACCGAUAGCGAACAAGUACUGCGAAGGAAAGGUGAAAAGAACUUUGAAAAGGGGGUUAAAAGACUUGAAACCGUUGAAAAGGAAGGUAAUUGAGUUGGCCAAUUAGAGUGGAAUGCCCAUCGGAAAAGGGAUGUCAGUCAAAGGUACCCUAAGGCCCUAGGCGGACUAAACUUAUCGAGUGGUGCUUACCUGCUUUAACAGACAAUAUGGCUUUUAACAACGUAAAACGGCUUGGUGAUUUCCCGGCUUGCCGAAGCUCCAAGUUACUGCGAUGAUAAGAGUGAGGGACUUUUGUGAUAUUGUCUAAACGGCUUAAUUACACCCGUCUUGAAACACGGACCAAGGAGUCAUUCGUUAGUGCGAGUGUGCCAGUGAAAAACUGAUACGCGAAAUGAAAGUAAGUUUAGGAUGCCAAGGCAACAGCAGCAUCAACCGUCGGCGAUCUUUUGUGAGCCGUAUGCGUAAGAGCACUACCGAAUGGACCCGAAAGAUGGUGAACUAUGCGUGA